ensembl:misc_RNA 7SK 7SK RNA
AGAUGUGAGGGCACUCUGGCUGGGACGUCUGUCACUCCCCUGAUUACCACGGUUGAUUCAGCUGAUCUGGCUGGCUAGGUGGAUGUCCCCUGCCUAGCUCACUGCUCCGUGAGCAUCCCUUUCAAAGCUGCAUGCUGAGUUGGAGAGGACAAACACCCGGAUAGAGGAAGAUUUCCCUUGGUCAAGGUUAUAUGAAUAGCUGCCCUGUGCCAGAACCUCCAAACAAGCUCUUAAAUCAACCAUCCAUCAUUAUGUCCAAAGAUUUCCACCAAAGAGUUUGCAGUGAAUUUAUCUUUCCUUUUGUUCAAAUAGCUUAUACUGAAUCAAUGAAAGCCAAUU